GAUGUGGACACACCCCUUGUCUGUAAUGCGUCGGUAGGCUAUACUUCCUGGUAAAUUAACUAGUUUCUUCUAAAGAACGUUGACUUACAACUUCGUUUUCAGAUAAAGACGUAUGGUAUAAUAUCACGCAAUUUACUCAAACUCGUUAAAAACAAAGAAAACAGGGUAAUUCGUCUGAAAAUGGGAAGCACCGUGAUGGAGUCCAACAAGAAGGAUAUGAAAACCUCGAAGAAAAAGAGAACACUACGCCUAAAUAUGCCAGGAGAGGUCUGCAGCCACUCUGUCAACCCAACUAAAGGACUCUUUGUGAGGGGUGGUCCUGCCGGUGUCAGCCAACCCUCCAGUCCCAUGGCUGCCCCUGCCCAGUCCCGUAUCAGCCCUGGCUCAUCCAGAACCAUUUCCCCCUACCUCUCCACCCACCAGGUCCCCUCACCGCCCAAAUCCCCCCUUUGCCUCAGCUUCAGUGGUAUAUUCCGCUCUUCGCCCAACUCAUCAUCCAACUCUAGCAUCAAGCUCUUUUCUAGGACCAGGAAAGUCUCCGGCCUCUCGUCUUCCCCCACCCCACCCAGCACCCCCAGCCUGCGCAUGCUGUUCCCCCAGGAGGUUCACCAGAGUGCCCCAGAGCGCCUGGAACGCUCCCUCUCAUCACCCCCACCAGACACCGGACAGCGCCUCAGCCUGCCAUCCUCUGCCAAGACCCCCAUGUCCUCCUCCUCUCCGAUACCCUACGCUUUCCCACUGCCCCAAGCUACCUCACAGCCAAAUUUCUACGGUUUAUUCGAAGGCAUGCUGGAGAAACUUGACCUAAACGAUGAUGGUGUUGCUGCUGAACCAGACAGAGAUAUUUACAUGCGCUUCAUGAAGUCCCACUGCUGCUAUGACAUCGUUCCCACCAGCUCCAAGCUGGUCGUGUUCGACACUGGCCUACAGGUGAAGAAGGCGUUCUUUGCCUUAGUGGCCAAUGGGGUGCGUGCUGCCCCACUAUGGGAUUCAGAGAGGCAGUGUUUUGUGGGAAUGUUGACAAUCACAGACUUCAUCAUCAUACUACACAGAUACUACAAGUCACCGUUGGUGCAAAUAUAUGAGUUGGAAGAUCAUAAGCUUGAGACAUGGAGAGAAGUAUAUUUGCAAGAGACAUUCAAGCCUUUAGUGAACAUAUCGCCCGAAUCAAGCAUAUUUGAUGCAGUGUAUUCCCUCAUUAAAAACAAGAUCCACCGGCUGCCUGUCAUCGACCCUGUGACGGGGAACCCACUUUACAUCCUCACACACAAGAGGAUCCUCAAGUUCCUACAGCUCUUUGUGCGUGAGAUGCCCAAGCCGGCUUUUAUGAAGCAGACUCUAGGAGAGCUGGGCAUCGGCACCUACAAGAACAUAGCCUUCAUCCACCCUGACACACCCAUCAUCAAGGCCCUGCAGAUCUUCGUAGAGAGGAGGGUGUCUGCCCUGCCUGUUGUGGACGUAUCUGGGAAAGUGGUGGAUAUUUACUCCAAAUUUGAUGUCAUAAACCUGGCAGCAGAGAAGACUUAUAAUAACCUGGACAUCACAGUGACCCAGGCUCUGAGGCAUCGCUGCCAGUACUUUGAGGGGGUCAUGCAAUGCCACAAGCUGGAUACACUGGAGACCAUCGUGGACAAGAUUGUCAAAGCAGAGGUCCACCGGCUGGUAGUGGUGGAUGAUCGCUCGGCCAUCGAGGGCAUCAUCUCCCUGUCUGACAUCCUGCAGGCCCUGGUGCUCAGCCCAGCAGGUAUAGAUGCUCAGCAUUCCUAACCCCCUCCUAAUACGACUCUUGGACCCUGAGCUCCCUCCCCGCCCUGCCCUGCCCUGCCUCGCCCUCCUCACACAGGUAGGACACAAACACACUCAGGCAUUUGCUGGUUGGCUCCCACAUGCGGAUGGCAUGGGCUUGAUGCCAGGCUGCCUGUGCCCUUGAGCCAUCCUGUAUGCCAGCUCGUAACAGUUUGGUGUGGGCUUGGCUGUGUGUCUGUGUCCUGACUCAGGACCAUGUCCUUUCCUCUCGUGCUACCCUCAGAUUCUAAUAGAAUGUUAACGUCUUACUUGACAUUAUGCUUGGUAGCCUUUCUUUGUUGUCUUGGUAUUUUGUCUAUCUGCUUAUAGUUUUGAAUAAUGAAGAAGAAUGAUGUAACAUAAAGAAUGUAGAAUAAUGUAAGAUAAUGAGUUUGUAUGUUUGUUUUUUGGAAGGAAAUGCCUUUGCUGGUGCAGUCAUAAUGCAUUUAGAAAUUGCAUUUUGAAUUGGCUGGUGCAUCAGUUCCCAGAUUUGAAAACUGCAGUGAGCAGACUCAUCAACUCCGAUAUGCCUGCAGAGAGGAGGGCCUCCUGGAGUGAGACGGGGGUCUACUGCUGCUGGAAUCACAGAGGCUGUCCUACAAUAUCUAACUUGUAUUUUACAGGUAGCUGCCAAGAUAAAGGAAACACUUGAGUAAAUUAGGGAUACAAAGUCUGUUGAAAGCAGGUGCUUCUAAACAGGUGUGGUUCCUGAGUUAAUUAAGCAGUUGACAUCCCAUCAUGCUUAGGGUCAUGUAUAAAAAUGCACACUUGCCCAUUAUUUUCCGUGGCUAAAAUAAGAGAUCUCAGUGACUUUGAGAGAGUGGUCUCAAAGGAGCAUAGGGGGUUUAAAGUGGGUGUGUGUCUCCAGUGACCAGAUGUCAACCCAAUUGAACACUUAUGGGAGAUUCUGGAGUGGCGCCUGAGACAGUGCUUUCCACAACCAUUAACAACACACCAAAUGAUGGAAUUUCUCUUGUAAAAAUCCCUUCUAUAUAAUUCCAGACACUUGAAGCGUGCAUUGAAGCGCAUUGAAGCUAUUCUGGCAGCUCGUGGUGGCCCAAUGCCCUAUUAAUAUAUUGGUGUUUCCUUUAUUUUGACAGUUCCCUUUACGUCCAGAGCCCUUCAUAUUGAUGCACUAGACUUUGAAACCAAAGGGCUGGGCUGGAUUGGACUGCUACUGGGGGGUAAAUGGCUUUAAUACUGGAGGACCAGCAUCUCUCUGUCUGAACGGAACUGGACUUGAUUCACUGGCUGAGCCAGUCUGAACUGUGGUUAUGUAUGUAUAUGAGGGCUAUAUACGUUUUGGUGUUUGUCUCAGUAUCAUGCUGCUCUGUCGUGUUAACAGUGCCUAGUCACUGGAUAGUUUCAAACCUUCAAUGAACAAGUCGAUUGACAGAUAUUGCCAAGGCAUCUUACUUGAUACACACAAGCAUGUGUCUAAGUUCCUCACGGGAAAUAAUAACCUGUUUGUAUCGGUGGAGCUGGAAUAUACUGGACCACUAAAAGUGCUGGUUGAGUAAAUAACGCCAGUCUAUAUUCUAUGCUGUCAAACACAGACCAUUUAGACAAUAUAAUUGCAUUCUUCAUUUUAGUAUCAAAUGUGGCCAUAUUAUAGCAUGUUCUAUGAUAAUCCACAUGUUGCUAUAAUGAGUUAUUGUCCACACCCCUUUUAGGGGCUAUAUGCAGUCUCUCUGUCCAAUCCUUAGUCACAGUGCCUUUCGCUUGCCCUGCCCCUGACCACGGAAGCAAACGCCAUUCUCUAACCAUAAUACAUCAAAACGAAGUGUUCUUGAAGAACAAGCAAGAUCUUGUCAAAAAUGUGUUCUCAUUUAACCUGAAGGAGAAAUUGCAGGUGUUCAUGCUUUAUCUGAUUAUGAUUGGAGGGGUUUUGUUUGUAUAUGAGUAACAUGCUGUGAAGAGAGACAGAACAGGAAAAAGGCUUUAUUUUUUGGAUAUAUAUAUAUAUAUUUUGUAUUCAUUCUUGAUGACACUUGGGUUGAGAUUUAGAGCCAUUUAUUUUGUCCGCUUUAUGCACUUGAGCCAUGGAUCACCUCCAUCUAUAACAUCUAUAAAGCAAAAUGGUGGAUUCUGAACUGCUCUUGACCAGACUCCUGUGCUGUGGCCAGAGAAUACACCUCUGACAACUCAUCUCUAUUGUUUCACUGUAAAUAAGAAAGUUUUCAGGAAAUGUGCCAGAGAAAGCUUUAUUUUUAUGUAACUUUAAAGAAAUCAUGUUAAAAUAACUGCAGUUUUAAUAUUAUUUUUGUAAAUAUAUUGUGGCAAAAUGAGCCAAUAUAAAUAAAAAAUACUUUCUAUUCAGAACAAGAUGUACAUGUGCAAGCAUGAGAAACGACACUAUAACAGUUGUGAAUGUUCUUUACUUUUCUAUUUUUCUGCAUGCAGAAAAAUAAACGAUGACACUGAAUGUAUUUUUAUGUAAUGUGUUUAUUGAAUUGUAUUUUUGACUGUAGAUUUGCACCACCAUAUUUAACUGUUUUGCAAUCCAAAUUAAACCUGUUUGGGUAAAUCAAUUAGCUUAUUAUGAUAAUCCUGAAUGCGGCAGGUUGCCUAGUGGUUAGAGCGUUAGGCCAGGAACCGAAAGGUUGCUAGCUUGAAUCCCCAAGCUGACAAGGUAAAAAUCGGUUGUCCUGAACAAGGCAGUUAACCCACUGUUCCUAGGCCGUCAUUGUAAAUACGAAUUUGUUCUUAACUGACUUUCCCAGUUAAAUAAAUAAAAAUGUAA